rnacentral:rRNA from 1 species
GUGGGGAAUAUUGGACAAUGGGCGAAAGCCUGAUCCAGCCAUGCCGCGUGUGUGAAGAAGGUCUUCGGAUUGUAAAGCACUUUAAGUUGGGAGGAAGGGCAGUAAGUUAAUACCUUGCUGUUUUGACGUUACCGACAGAAUAAGCACCGGCUAACUUCGUGCCAGCAGCCGCGGUAAUACGAAGGGUGCAAGCGUUAAUCGGAAUUACUGGGCGUAAAGCGCGCGUAGGUGGUUUUGUAAGUUGGAGGUGAAAUCCACGGGCUCAACCUGGGAACUGCCUCCAAAACUGCAUGACUAGAGUACGGUAGAGGGUAGUGGAAUUUCCUGUGUAGCGGUGAAAUGCGUAGAUAUAGGAAGGAACACCAGUGGCGAAGGCGACUACCUGGACUGAUACUGACACUGAGGUGCGAAAGCGUGGGGAGCAAACAGGAUUAGAUACCCUAGUAGUCC